CAGGGGGCCUCUGGUCGCGGGGCUAGGCCUCCCGUACCUCGAAAGAGGUGGCAAAUGGUCUACAUGGCCGACCAUAGCCGAGGGGCGGCAUAGCAACUCAAGCUAGCCUGCAUGUUCAACUAGGAAGCCCUGUCCCUAUGGGUCUUGCUAUCUGGAAACCCCCCAGGUCCGGAAGAAGAGGCGAGAGCAUGAGAAGAAAAUGGAAAAAACAUUGAGCUUGAAAAUAGGAGAUUUAUUCCCUACAAUCUAGCCAAGCUCUCGCCUUUUUCGAAGAAGCAAGGGUAACCAGGUAGCAAGGCGCUAUAGGGGUUGCAGGGUGGAGAAGGGCAUGCAGAUUAACUAGCUUGGGGAGCUAUGUCCACCCGAGGCGUGCCCCCUG
rnacentral:SRP_RNA from 1 species